AUGCUGAAGAACUGUUCAACGAGCAUAAAGAUCAAUUUUCUCUGGUAUGAGCAGUCGAGUCAGUGCAAAACUAUGAGGGAUAGCAGCGUAAGUUAUGCAUCUGCGGCAGCAAAGGUAGAUGCUUGAAAAUGUAUUCUCCUUUGAGACAUCCAGCAAUUUAAUUCUCAUCAAAUUGACUGUAAUGUUUAACCCCAAGUAAAUAUGCAUUUCAUGAACCCUCA
rnacentral:lncRNA from 1 species